AUGGCCGAAACAGUUUUUUCUGGCAAGUACCGUCUUUUCGGAGUAUUCUUGCUCAUUUUCAUGAUUCUGAUAUUUUAAUUUUUUCUGUUGCAGACUUUUGAAUGAACAAGUGUCGAGGUUACAAGGAAAAUGGAGAAAACUGAGUAUUGUGCUGUCAUAAAGUAGCUUCAUUUGAAAGGCAUGACUCCAUCAGAAAUCCAUGAAGAUAUGGUGAGAACCUUAGCAGACAAUGCUCCUUCAUAUGCAACAGCCAAAUGCUGGGUAAAUGAAUUCCAGUGUGGUAGGGAGAGUGUGGAAGAUGAGCCCAGACCAGGGAGACCUCCAACUGCAACCACCAAGGACAACCUUGACCUUGCUCUUGGUAUGAUAAUGCAAGAUCGCCAAACAUCAUGUCAUCAGAUAGCCAAGAGACUGGGCACCUCAACUGAAAGAGCUGACAACAUUGUGACAAAAGAACUUGGGUACUCAAAGGUUUCUGCAAGGUGGGUCCUUCACCUUUUGACUCUUCAACAGAAAUGCACCAGGUGCACUUAGUCCAUGAGCAAUCUGGAACUGUUUGAAGCCGAUGAAGAGAAUUUCCUUGCUUGCUUCAUUACUAUGGACGAAAGUUGGGUUCAUCACUUCCAGCCUGAAACCAAAGAACAAUCAAAGCAGUGGAAGCACACAUCUUCUCCUACCCCAAAGCAGGCCAGGGUCAUUCCUUCAGCUGGCAAGGUCAUUGCCAACUAUAUAUUA